AACGAACGCUGGCGGCAUGCCUAACACAUGCAAGUCGAACGAGACCUUCGGGUCUAGUGGCGCACGGGUGCGUAACGCGUGGGAAUCUACCCUCAGGUUCGGAAUAACUCAGAGAAAUUUGAGCUAAUACCGGAUGAUGACGUAAGUCCAAAGAUUUAUCGCCUGAGGAUGAGCCCGCUUAGGAUUAGGUAGUUGGUGAGGUAAAGGCUCACCAAGCCGACGAUCCUUAGCUGGUCUGAGAGGAUGAUCAGCCACACUGGGACUGAGACACGGCCCAGACUCCUACGUGAGGCAGCAGUGGGGAAUAUUGGACAAUGGGCGAAAGCCUGAUCCAGCAAUGCCGCGUGAGUGAUGAAGGCCUUAGGGUUGUAAAGCUCUUUUACCCGGGAUGAUAAUGACAGUACCGGGAGAAUAAGCUCCGGCUAACUCCGUG
rnacentral:rRNA from 1 species